UCCCGACACAACCCGCGCUCCUCGUCGUCUCCAAUCGACGCUCCGACACGUACGCAUGGACGCCGGAGCUCCCCUGCCCAGAUUCGCCGCGCUGCUUCCCUGCUCUCCCGCGCCGGAGCUCCCCUACGCAGCUUCGCCGCGCUGCUCUCCCGCGCGUCCUCCUCCGUCGCUCCCUCCUGCCUCGCGCAGCUCCCCUGCCCCCUUGCCUGCCUCCCAAAUCUUCCCUCUUUCAUCCGCAAAAUCGUUUCUUCUUCCUCCCGCUGCGUCUCCUGCUUGCGCGCAGCGACGACACGUCCUCCUUGUUGCCCACGACGCCGGAGGAGGCACGGGGCAAGCAGCAGUGGCUCGCGCUGCGCCAGCGCGACCUCGGGUGCGCGUGGGCGUACGCGCCGGUCACCGCCUCGGCCGUGCGCCAGUCUGCGAAGGAGGAGGAAGGGGAUUCCAUUCGCCGCCAAGGCGCCCUGGGCAUGCUCCUCGAGUCCCCGCUCCUCGGGCCUCUCGUCACCUCCCUCCUCAAAAAGCAAAACCACAUGACGCAGGUCCUCUCCUCCCUUGUCAGCCUUCAUUUUUUUGAGAUUAUUUUGUCCAGCAACUCCGUGGUUUGCUUCCGUUGCACUCAGCACGAUUCUGCUCUUAUUAAUGUUGGGGGCGAGCACAUGCUGCAGCGCACGGUGAUCCAGUUCUUUCAUUCAGUCAAGUUCUUUCAUUCAGUCAAGUUCUUUCAUUCAGUUAUGUUCUUUCAUUCAGUCAAAUUCAGUCAAGUUCUACUAAUCCCGCCGCAGGGUAAGACAGUGUGUGUCCCUUUGUAAUUGUCACUUGAAUUUUGUAUAGUUGGGAUAGAUGUUCCAGUUGUUUCAUUCAGUCAAGUUGUACUGAAACUUUCCGCAAAAAAAAAUUCUGCUGAAACCGAGAAAAGGCACAGAAACAUGAAUGUGCUGCCAUGUGCCCGAAUGUGCUGAUAAUUCUUUCUCAAAUUAUCCUGAAUGUGCUGCGCUGACCUUUGAUGAUAGUCUAUUCUUCCAAAUUAUGCAUGAAUCUGUAGCACACCAUGACACUACUAUUAUUGGAUCAUCUCCAUUUUUAUUUUCUCCUUUAGAUCAUCUCCAUUUUUAUUUUCACUUUUCAGCUUUAAUGUAGAUUUUGACCCCAAAAAACACAUGGUCUUUUUAACACUUUUCAGUUUGCAUUAUCCUGGAUAUAGAACAUGGAUCUCUGAAUAAUUUAAAUAUUCUGAAUAAUCCAAUAAUUGACAGAGGCAUAACAAUUGAAAUGUAGCUUCAAAUGUCAAAAUUUAGUGUCCUGGAUACAGAACAUGGAUCAGUUUUCAGUUUGCUUAACACUUUAGUUUGCAUUAUCCUUCUCUGAAUAAUUCAAAUGUCCUGGAUACAGAACAUGGAUAACACUGUAUAUUUAGUGUAGAAUCCUUUUAGUAACUUUGAAUUUUGGCCACUACUUUAUGAACAGUAUUGGUGAUAAUUUAAUUCAGUUGGUGACAAAAUCACUACUUUAUGUACACAUUGACUGAAUUUAACUUGGAGUACAGACACUACAUUGCUUCUGUGCUUACAAAAUUCAGAUUGAAUUUCACUACCAAAAGAAAAGAAGUGGAGAUUAAAUGCUGCUUUCCACUUACUUCGCCUGUGUGUAACUCUUUUGGUGCAUUUUCUGCAGAACCUAUGCGUAGCUGCAGCAUACAGGCCAGUUCAUCAACUGCUCGAAGAAGAAAAGAAGGUGGCAGUCUGAACCUUUUAUAAAUGGAGUACUCUUGACUUAGGAAGCCCAAGCUAUAGCAGAUUCAAGUUCAUUUAAAUGGCUGAUUCAGCUUGAGAACCAGAGUAAACUACUGUACUGAGAACAGCAAAUUCGGCAGCAAAUUGGACAGCAGCAGUAGUAGAGGCGGGCGGGGAAGGCUCACCAGCACAGGCGGGAGUGGCAGCAGAGGCGAGGCAUGGGAAAAGGCAAAGAUAGCAUCAGAGGUCCACGACGUCAGCGUUGCCCACCAGUAGCUACAUCAGAGGCAGGAGUGGCCGGAAUUGUCCACGGCGCCGGCGGCUGAAGCAGACAAAAUCGGAGGCGCAGGUGGGCGGCGAAGGUGGGCGGACGUUGGUGGCGACCGUGGGCUAUCGUGGGCGGCGAGCUUCAACGGGGCCGGCGGCGUAGCUCGAGGCGGGCGCCGGCGCAGGUCGCCUUCACGGUGGGCGGUGCAGGUGGGAAGCCGCGACGCGGGUCCAAGCGGGCGGCGGCGCUAUUGUUGGCCACGCGCUGGGACGCGGCGCUGGUGUUGGUCGCGGCGCAGGUCCAGGCGGGCGGCAGCGCCCUGGUGGAUGGGUAGCCGGCGAUGGCUGCAAGGCGCGGGCGAUGGGGGAGGAGGAAGGAAGGAGAUGGAGUUAUUCGUGGCGUGUUUAAAACUGUGUUUUUUUUUGAAAAAAAGCAAAUACACUGCCCCGUGGACAACUUUUCUCGGACUGAGGGAGUACUAUUUUUGAGACUAACAUAUUGAUCCAGUGCCC
rnacentral:rRNA from 1 species